rnacentral:snRNA from 1 species
ACCCUCGGGUUGACCCUU